UACGGGGGGGGCAAGCGUUGUUCGGAAUUACUGGGCGUAAAGGGUUCGUAGGUGGCUGACUAAGUCAGACGUGAAAUCCCUCAGCUUAACUGGGGAACUGCGUCUGAGACUGGCCAGCUUGAGGUGCAGGAGAGGAACGCGGAAUUCCAGGUGUAGCGGUGAAAUGCGUAGAUAUCUGGAGGAACACCGGUGGCGAAGGCGGCGUUCUGGACUGCAACUGACACUGAGGAACGAAAGCCAGGGGAGCAAACGGG
rnacentral:rRNA from 1 species